GUCUUUUAGAUUUUAAUUUUAAGUUUAAUCUGCCCACUGAUUAAUUUAAGGGCCGCAGUAUAUUAACUGCGCAAAGGUAGCAUAAUCAUUAGUUUUUUAAUUGAAAACUUGUAUGAAUGAUUGGACGAAAUAUAAACUGUCUUAAUUGAAUUUUAAUAAAAUUUUAUUUUUUAGUUAAAAAGCUAAAAUAUUUUUAAAAGACGAGAAGACCCUAUAGAUCUUUAUAUUUAUAAUAUAUAAUUUAAUGAGAAUUAUUAAAAUAAUAUAUUAAAUAAUAUUUUAUUGGGGUGAUACUGAAAUUUUAUAAACUUUCAGUGAUAUAAAACAAAAAUUAUUGAAUUUUUGAUCUUUUAUUAUUGAUAAAAAAUUUAAGUUACCUUAGGGAUAACAGCGUAAUUAUUUUGGCGAGUUCAUAUUGAUAAAAUAGAUUGCGACCUCGAUGUUGGAUUAAAAUUAAUUUUAGGCGUAGCAGUUAAAAUAUUAAAACUGUUCGACUUUUAAAUUUUU
rnacentral:rRNA from 1 species